rnacentral:piRNA from 1 species
AAGUACUAUAAGCGAUGAAAUUUU